rnacentral:rRNA from 1 species
AUGGAUGUUAAGACUGCUUUCCUAAAUGGAGAGUUGGAUGAGGAAAUUUAUAUGAAACAACCAGAUGGGUUUGUACUAGAUGGUCAGGAAGGGAAAGUGUGCAAGUUGCUGAAGUCUUUAUAUGGACUCAAGCAAGCACCCAAACAGUGGCAUGAGAAGUUCGAAAGAACUUUAAUAGCUGCAGGCUUUGUUGUGAACGAAGCUGACAAAUGUGUGUGCUAUCGCCAUGGUGGGGGCGAGGGAGUUAUCAUUUGCUUGUAUGUUGAUGACAUACUGAUUUUCGGAACAAAUCUGAAUGUUAUUGAGGUCAAGGAUUUCCUAUCUCGCUGUUUUGAGAUGAAGGAUUUAGGAGUGGCUAAUGUCAUUCUGAAUAUCAAGUUGUUGAGAGACGAUGAUGGUGGGUUACAUUGCUUCAAUCUCACUAUGUGGAAAAGAUCUUGA